rnacentral:rRNA from 1 species
UACGUAGGGGGCAAGCGUUGUCCGGAUUUAUUGGGCGUAAAGAGCGUGUAGGCGGUCAGAUAGGUCCGUUGUGAAAACUCGAGGCUCAACCUCGAGACGCCGAUGGAAACCAUUUGGCUAGAGUCCGGAAGAGGAGAGUGGAAUUCCUGGUGUAGCGGUGAAAUGCGCAGAUAUCAGGAAGAACACCCGUGGCUAAGGCGGCUCUCUAGUACGGUACUGACGCUGAGACGCGAAAGCGUGGGGAGCGAACAGG